UUGGAAGAAAAUUAGACAAUCUUAAUAUGCCUGUUCGUAAUACAGUGUUGUGCUGCCACGGAUGGCAGCACAAGUCUUAAUGCCCCUGGAUGGGGCAUUUAAGACGCACACGUCACUCCGAGAAAACCUACAUCAGGCAUAUUUAGAUUGUCUUAUUUUCGGAC
rnacentral:ncRNA from 1 species